rnacentral:rRNA from 1 species
AUUGAACGCUGGCGGCAUGCUUUACACAUGCAAGUCGAACGGUAACAGGGAGCUUGCUCCGCUGACGAGUGGCGAACGGGUGAGUAAUGCAUCGGAACGUACCCAGUCGUGGGGGAUAACGUAGCGAAAGUUACGCUAAUACCGCAUACGUCCUGAGGGAGAAAGCGGGGGACCGUAAGGCCUCGCGCGAUUGGAGCGGCCGAUGUCGGAUUAGCUGGUUGGUAGGGUAAAGGCCUACCAAGGCGACGAUCCGUAGCGGGUCUGAGAGGAUGAUCCGCCACACUGGGACUGAGACACGGCCCAGACUCCUACGGGAGGCAGCAGUGGGGAAUUUUGGACAAUGGGCGAAAGCCUGAUCCAGCCAUGCCGCGUGAGUGAAGAAGGC